GUGAGGGAGCUGGGGCUGUCGGGUAUUAAGCCUGAGGAAGUUCCGCCCACCUCACCGGGGCCGCGGUGUCGUAAGGCACCUCCCGAAAGGGAGGGCAACGGCGCAGAAACGACACGUCCCCUCAAAUAGGAGGAUGAAAGCGGUGAAGGCCUUCGGCAACGAAGGCCGAGCUAACCCGCAGACGAUUUGAGGGGGAACGGUGAAACGGCCGUCCCGCGGGGUGCAAGGCCAAGCUAGGGGCGAUGAAUUCCCGGUGGGAGUCCCGUGGUGGGCCGCUUAGUCGAAUGCCCUAUUUUACAGAAGGCGGGCUAUAGCUCCCUCAC
rnacentral:RNase_P_RNA from 1 species